CAGUAGCCGCGGUAAUACGUAGGUGGCAAGCGUUGUCCGGAUUUAUUGGGCGUAAAGCGAGCGCAGGCGGUUUGAUAAGUCUGAAGUUGAAGGCUGUGGCUCAACCAUAGUUCGCUUUGGAAACUGUCAAACUUGAGUGCAGAAGGGGAGAGUGGAAUUCCAUGUGUAGCGGUGAAAUGCGUAGAUAUAUGGAGGAACACCGGUGGCGAAAGCGGCUCUCUGGUCUGUAACUGACGCUGAGGCUCGAAAGCGUGGGGAGCGAACGGGAUUAGAUACCCCUGUAGUCCCUGUCUCUUAUACA
rnacentral:rRNA from 1 species